rnacentral:rRNA from 1 species
GAAUAUUGGUCAAUGGACGAAAGUCUGAACCAGCCAUGCCGCGUGCAGGAAGACGGCCCUACGGGUUGUAAACUGCUUUUGUAUAGGAAUAAACCCCCCAACGUGCUGGGGGCUGAAGGUACUGUACGAAUAAGCACCGGCCAACCCCGUGCCCGCAGCCGCGGUAAUACGGAGGGUGCAAGCGUUAUCCGGAUUUAUUGGGUUUAAAGGGUGCGUAGGCGGAAUAUUAAGUCAGUGGUGAAAUCUUCCAGCUUAACUGGGAAACUGCCAUUGAUACUGAUAUUCUUGAGUUUGAUUGAAGUAGGCGGAAUGAGGCAUGUAGCGGUGAAAUGCAUAGAUAUGCCUCAGAACACCGAUCGCGAAGGCAGCUUACUAAGUCAAUACUGACGCUGAGGCACGAAAGCGUGGGGAGCAAACAGG